UUGACGUUAAUUCACUGCAAUGAGCAGUAGUUUAUUCUGAAAGAAACAGGCGGACAGACGUGUCUGCGCAUGCUCAGCGUAGUGAUUCGUUGUUUCCGUCGCUUUGCUAGCUUAACACGCUAAAAAAAAAAAGAAGUAAGCUAGCCGUGCUCUUUCAAGAUGCAGUGUGUUGAAUGAGUGGCAUCACAGCUUGUAUGGAGGCCCAGAAUGUCUAACGACAUGCUUGAUCUCAGCCUGCAGCGCCUGGACCAUUGUUCCCAGAUGAGCUGAUGUUUUCAGUGAUGAUGACUAUAAGCAUAAAGGAGGAAGAUAACAGGAUACUCACCUUCUUUAGGAGGCCGUUUCACCUCUGCACUCAGAUUGCAGAUCUGCCCAGCUUGUAGUUGGGGUGACAAGCAACCCUCCGUUUGUGGAUUUAAAGGCAGUUUUCCAGCCACGUACAAAGUACUUGACACCCAAACUGGCUGGGGCUCGCCUUGUUCAACACCA